CUUAUUUACACGCAGCCGUCAGGGAGAACAUAAAGAGGAAUUGGUUAAAAUGCUGCAUUCACCAACCACCCUGGACUAGGCGGGGUGUCCGAACAGCUCUUCCAGACCCCUCCAGCAACCAUAAGAGAAUAGGAGCUGGAAAUAAGUCGUAGUUUUGGGGCCGCCACGAAGGCGUAAAGUUUCAAUGAAUGUGGCAGGUGGAAAUAGUCUGCGGCGAGACCACGCAACAAAACUGCAGGCCUGGCGACAGAAAGAAGUCAGGAAUGGUGUGCGACGAGCGAGUUCCGCCUAUCAGAAACGGGUUUGUGACCAAAAAGCCGCCAAUGUGAGGAACUCCCACACCCUGAGAUUCAGCCGGGCAAUACUGCAGUUCACCAUUAGAGAAGUGCGGUCUCUCAUCGAUGUCGGAAAACACCAUCGUUCACAUGUCUAGAUAUGUGGGAUACACACGUUUGCCCAUAGGACAAAUAAAAAAAGAAAAGACCGUGCAGGUCCAAUAGUUAUAAAUUAAUUCAGAAACUUAUAUCGUCUAGUCAAUAGUGUAUAAUCACAAAAAAAAAAUAUAUAAUCACAGGAAAACAAAA